rnacentral:rRNA from 1 species
CAGCAGCCGCGGUAAUACGAAGGGUGCAAGCGUUAAUCGGAAUUACUGGGCGUAAAGCGUGCGUAGGCGGUUCGUUAAGUCUGUUGUGAAAGCCCCGGGCUCAACCUGGGAAUGGCAAUGGAUACUGGCGAGCUAGAGUGUGUCAGAGGAUGGUGGAAUUCCCGGUGUAGCGGUGAAAUGCGUAGAGAUCGGGAGGAACAUCAGUGGCGAAGGCGGCCAUCUGGGACAACACUGACGCUGAGGCACGAAAGCGUGGGGAGCAAACAGGAUUAGAUACCCCAGUAGUCCCUGUCUCUUAUAC